AAAAGAUGGAGAAAUGGUGUCAUCUUCUCCAUAGUUGCUGCCAAAUUUUGGAAGACACCAUAGCUAGGGUUUCUUUGCUUUCUCAAGCUCAUAAUCAAGAAAAACGGGAAGAUUAUCUCAAACGAGGAAAAGAAAAGAUAGUUGAGUGAAUUGCAAAAUUACGAUAUUUUGCACCGAGUGAUUUCCAUCAACUCGGAAUUUGGACGGAGUCAGACAAUCAUCUACACUAUCAUCCACGUUUGAGUAUUUUGGCUACUAGUAUUCUGGAAAUUAUGGCAUGUAUAGACGACUUAUGUAAUGGGGCGUCACCAUGUAAAUAUAUGUUAUGGUUCGAUUUAAAAUGUAGUGUUUAUUAAUGGUUAAAUUUUGUAUGUUUGUACAACUGAACUUGGUUGGAAUAUUGAAUUGUGUUGAAAACUUGCAGGAGGUUUAAGCAA